UUUCAUUGAAACCAGGACUUUUGCGUGUUUUUUUACAGAGAAAGGCGAACUAUAUAGUUAAUAGUAUAUACCUACCGAAAGGGAACCAUGUGACAGCAGUGUGACGUUAUGUGAUAAAAGCGAAAACCUUUGAGGUCACAUGACAAAUCUCAUGAAAAUAACCCCCCAUCGGUUGGUUAAUGAAAUCCCGUGCUGACGCCUUCACAUGUCCGACCUCUGUACCUCGUGAACUCACUAUUAUAUUUUGUAGCAACCCGAAAAACAUACAUGACAAUGUUGCUGACUCAUCAUUUAAAGGAAGUUUGCGAUGGCAGGAGUGGAUAAUACAGUUGUCAACAUCCCAACGAUGUUCCCCUCCACUAAGGAAGGAGGGAUUUGAUCCCGGAUGCGGGGAAGGCUUCGUCUUUUACGUUUUAAUCAUCUCAAACCACUAAAGGAAUUGAAACUCAAUGAUGCGACACAUGCAGUCAUGGAUGGACGACCUUCGGACAGACAGGUGAACAUUAAGUGGAUCCGACAGGGAAGAUAUGGAAUCGAUGGAAGAAUCCCCUUUAUUAGGGUGAGUGUGAUGUCAUAAUAAUAUGUGUCAUAUCAUAGUAAUGUUUGCUCACUAUUGAGUUAUAACUUACUAUAAUUAGACAGUGGUUUUAUUAUAAAUGAUGCAUUUAUCUCAUAGUUACUAUACAAGUUUAGGGCAUUAGUAAUGUUGGACUACUAGCACCUUAUAAUUGCCAUGCUUUAACUAUUGUCAUGUUGAUUGUCACAUUAUCAACAUAUUUAUUAUUGUUAUCUGGUUAUCUUCAUAUCUUUA